rnacentral:rRNA from 1 species
CCUACGGGAGGCAGCAGUCGAGAAUCAUUCACAAUGGGGGAAACCCUGAUGGGGCGACGCCGCGUGGGGGAAUGAAGGUCUUCGGAUUGUAAACCCCUGUCAUGUGGGAGCAAAUUAAAAAGAUAGUACCACAAGAGGAAGAGACGGCUAACUCUGUGCCAGCAGCCGCGGUAAUACAGAGGUCUCAAGCGUUGUUCGGAAUCACUGGGCGUAAAGCGUGCGUAGGCUGUUUCGUAAGUCGUGUGUGAAAGGCGCGGGCUCAACCCGCGGACGGCACAUGAUACUGCGAGACUAGAGUAGUGGAGGGGGAACCGGAAUUCUCGGUGUAGCAGUGAAAUGCGUAGAUAUCGAGAGGAACACUCGUGGCGAAGGCGGGUUCCUGGACAUUAACUGACGCUGAGGCACGAAGGCCAGGGGAGCGAAAGGGAUUAGAUACCCGUGUAGUC